CCUACGGGUGGCAGCAGUGGGGAAUAUUGCACAAUGGGGGAAACCCUGAUGCAGCGACGCCGCGUGAGUGAAGAAGUAUUUCGGUACGUAAAGCUCUAUCAGCAGGGAAGAAAAAAAGUCCUUUGGACUUUGGACGGUACCUGACCAAGAAGCCCCGGCUAACUACGUGCCAGCAGCCGCGGUAAUACGUAGGGGGCAAGCGUUAUCCGGAUUUACUGGGUGUAAAGGGAGCGUAGACGGCAAGGCAAGUCUGGAGUGAAAGCCCGUGGCCCAACCACGGGACUGCUUUGGAAACUGUGUUGCUGGAGUGCAGGAGGGGUAAGCGGAAUUCCUAGUGUAGCGGUGAAAUGCGUAGAUAUUAGGAGGAACACCGGUGGCGAAGGCGGCUUACUGGACUGUAACUGACGUUGAGGCUCGAAGGCGUGGGGAGCAAACAGGAUUAGAUACCCCAGUAGUC
rnacentral:rRNA from 1 species